rnacentral:rRNA from 1 species
CGGACAGAGCUGGCGUAUCUGGCCUGCAUUCAGCCGCGCCCYGCUGGCGUCAGGGAUGCCGCUCUCCAGAUUGGGACGGUGGUCUGACUGCUCGGUGGGUUUGUGGUGCAUUUGCAGGUGGAGUGCGCCGAGGCGCUCGGUGCAGCGGCAUGAGCUUGGCUUUGAGGCCAGCCCGCAAGGUGUCUGGUACCCGGGCCAGGGGAGUGCUGUUUGUGCUGGGUGACAAAAUGGGUAAUGGUCUCGGGCUCGUGUGGGUGCCGAGCUGGCGGUCGGCGGCGGUCGCAUGCGACACGUGCCAGCAAUCAGUUCGGUCCUGCUCGAGCUCACAUCUGCUCGUCCUCGGUGUAAAAGCCGGUCAUCUGUCCGACCCGUCUUGAAACACGGACCAAGGAGUUUAGCGUGUGCGCGAGUCAUUGGGCGUUGAAAACCCAAAGGCGUAAUGAAAGUGAAUGGAUCCCUUGCGGACCUGAUGUGUGAUCCCGGACACUGCGGUGUGCUGGGCGCAACAUAGUCCCGUCCCGAUUGCUUGCAAUGGGGCGGAGACAGAGCGUACGCGCUGAG